rnacentral:tRNA from 1 species
GGUAGCGUGGCCGAGCGGUCCAAGGCGCUGAUUUAAGGCACCAGUCUCUUCGGGGGCAUGGGUUCGAAUCCCAUCGCUGCCA